AAUACCCUAAAUGGGAUAAGUAUAUGCAGGAAAAGAAUAGAAUUCUCUGAGAGCAUAGAAUAGAGGAGUCUGAGCUAGAAUGGCGAGUCACAGAAGGCUUCCCUGACAAGGUGCCAGUUGAGCUGAGAUCUGAGGAUGAGUUGGCAUUACUGAGACCCGGAGCCUGGAGGAAGCCCGCACAGUUGGGCACAGCUGCCACAGGAUGUGCCACUAUAUACCUGGGGAAACAACCCCAAUCAAUCAAGCCACACCACCAACUGGAAGGGAGGAACUCCACUGUCUCCAGCGGGAAAGGUUCAACUACAAAGGCUGGAAGUUAGACGCAUGAGCUCGCUGCACCCCAGAGGCAGGCGGAGGGAACUCUCUCGUUACAAGGCUGAUGGGCGGCCUGCCUGGAACACGUCUGUCGGCAAGGCUGAGCAACUGGCACUCAGAAUGCAGAGGCCAGAAUGCUGGCAAGUGGCGACCUUGCUGUCCUCUCUACAUCUUUGUCCUCUGGCCACCCACUUCCUGUCUUUCAUUCCUCACAAGGCAAAAGUCGAUGGCCCACUGCUUGGCCGACGUCCCAAUUCUCAGCCUCAAGUCUUGUUUCCUCUCCCUAACUGGUUCCUAUUGCUCUGUCUUCUUGGGAGCUAGUGAGAACUCAAGACUCAGGGGGCUGGAGCAAGCCUACAAACUCCUCUAUUUUGGGACCCUCAGGGCCUCUGCUCCCCUGUGAACCAGUGGCAAGUUUUACAUGUUCUACUCAACAGCGGACAGACUUCUUGGAACUUAAGUAAUUGACCAGGCAGAAUUCAAAUUAAAGGAACCAUAAACCAAGCCUGAAUUGGCCACACAAAUUUUUGAUAACUCAAAUAUCUAAGAGCUCUAUAGCACACUGAAGUGCACAUUGCUAAAAAGUACUGCACGAAGUUAGCAUUUCCACAGCCAACCUGCAGGAUGCUGAGAGAAAGAGCCUGCUAACUGCUGGCUCGAAGUACUAAGACUUCCAAACUGUGCUGUGUAGAGACCAGUGCGCUUGGUGCUGUUCUCACUGUCACUUGUACAUGUGGUCAGAUGCUGG
ensembl:lncRNA